rnacentral:rRNA from 1 species
GAUGAACGCUGGCGGCGUGCCUAAUACAUGCAAGUCGAGCGAACAGAUGAGAAGCUUGCUGCUCUGAUGUUAGCGGCGGACGGGUGAGUAACACGUGGGUAACCUACCUAUAACACUGGGAUAACUCCGUGAAACCGGGGCUAAUACCGGAUAAUAUGUUGCACCGCAUGGUUCAUUAGUGAAAGAGUGUUUCGGUUGUCCUCUAUAGAUCGCCCCGCGCCGUAUCAGCUAGUUGGUACGGGAACGGCUUACCAAGGCGACGAAACGUAGCCGACCUGAGAGGGUGCUCGGCCACACUGGAACUGAGACACGGUCCAGACUCCUACGGGAGGCAGCAGUAGGGAAUCUUCCACAAUGGGCGAAAGCCUGACGGAGCAACGCCGCGUGAGUGAUGAAGGUCUUCGGAUCGUAAAACUCUGUUGUUAGGGAAGAACAAAUUUGUUAGCAACUGAACAAGUCUUGACGGUACCUAACCAGAAAGCCACGGCUAACUACGUGCCAGCCGCCGCGGUAA